rnacentral:lncRNA from 1 species
GUCUGCCCUGUCUGGGCCUGGAUGGGCUUGGGGCCAGGCCUUUGUCUGAUUCCUGAUUCCCAUGAGAAUUGGGGCUGCAGUGAAUUAGGUUGCCUCCUCUCCUCAACUUGUGAGCUCCUAUGACCCUUCAGCCAUGAGCUACUAUCUUGGGCCCUUUUUUUGGUUAUGGGGCACAAGAUAGAACCCUGACUGCUUUCUAGGUGGGCUCUGGUCAGGAGGAAGAGCGAUGGAGGUAGUUGGGGGCCAAUAUGAACUGAGUCCUUGAGAUGGUUCUGUUGAUUCUCUAUUUUACUGAUUCUCUGUGGUGAGUGCAUGAUCCCUAUGCUGCAAUGUGGAACCUCUGCCUGAAGCCCCCUACCCCAGUUUUCCUUUUUCCAUGAAAGAGUGUGUGUAAAUACAUUGGUGUUCAUAGAAGACCUGGCUACAUGUGUAUGAGUGACCAGGCUGAAGCUUAGGUGUUGUGGGGAGGGGGGAGGUUGAAGUGGGGCCAAUACCUGCACAACUCCACACCCUGCACCUAGUGAGUGGCUUUUUUUUCUAAAAGGCAACAAAACACUGCCCUCUCUCCAUUGACCCACAACCUUUUUCUAAAUCUGAGUAGAGAGAAGCUCCUAAAGUGAUCUUCUGGGUGGGAAGGGCCCUAUUACGUGUGACCCCAUCCUUCUGUUUAUUUUUGCCACCACUGCCAUGACAUAGAUGCUCUUUCCCUGCCUAGAGUGUAGGUUGAACCUCUUUUCCUUGGCAACCAUUAAAAAUGAACUUCACAACAUUCUAAAUAUUAGAGGACAGCAAAAGGGGUACAGUAACAGGAAAUAUAAGCAGCUUAAAGAUAAGUUGGAUCAGUGACUUUACUCAGGUUGACUCCUCUGCCCUCAAGCAGGAGUCCCCCACCUCAGGUCCAUGGGCUCCCUAAAAUUGUAUGCAAAAUGUUGUCUGUACAUUUGUACAUGUGUGUCUGUAUUUUUCUGGGGGGUGGCUGGUGGGGUAUGGCUUUCAUCAGAUUCUCAAGGCCUUACAACAUUCAAGGACCACUGCCCGGAGGUCACUGCACUCGGGCCAAGCCAAGAAGGUGCCACUCUAUGGCAGCUCCUCCUAGCCUCGCCUUGCUGCCUGUGGCCAGUCCCUGGACUUGUAGCUGCUGAAGGUCCUCCCUCUGUUUCUAUAGUCCAUGGAAGCUGGGUUCUGCAUAUUUGAAGACACUGUCAACUCUCACUCAAUGUCCGGAACUUCCUGCUUUGUAAUUCCCACGUGCUCUAGGCUUCUCCUGCCCGGUCCUGGUCUUGGCCUGUGAAUGUGCCUCUUUCAUCCCUAGUGAGGGACUCCUUCAAGGUCCAGUGAAUGGCCUAGUCCUUUCCAGUUGAAGGUUGCUGCAAGGAUUAAAUGAGAAAACAUGUAAACAAUAAAGCACUAUAUGUACAAGUA